rnacentral:rRNA from 1 species
UACGUAGGGGGCAAGCGUUGUCCGGAAUCAUUGGGCGUAAAGAGCGUGUAGGCGGCCCGGUCAGUCCGCCGUGAAAGUCCAGGGCUCAACCCUGGAAUGCCGGUGGAUACUGCCGGGCUGGAGUCCGGAAGAGGCGAGUGGAAUUCCUGGUGUAGCGGUGAAAUGCGCAGAUAUCAGGAGGAACACCGAUGGCGAAGGCGGCUCUCUGGGACGGUACUGACGCUGAGACGCGAAAGCGUGGGGAGCAAACAGG